UACAGAGGUCCCAAGCGUUGUUCGGAUUCACUGGGCGUAAAGGGUGCGUAGGUGGUGGGGUAAGUCUGAUGUGAAAUCUCCGAGCUCAACUCGGAAAUGGCAUUGGAAACUACCUUGCUCGAGGGUUGGAGGGGGGACUGGAAUACUUGGUGUAGCAGUGAAAUGCGUAGAUAUCAAGUGGAACACCAGUGGCGAAGGCGAGUCCCUGGACAACUCCUGACACUGAGGCACGAAAGCUAGGGGAGCAAACAGG
rnacentral:rRNA from 1 species